AAAAAAGCAAACCUUGGGUUUCCGUGUCCAAUUUUUACUGUCCGUCUUAUAUGAAAUUUUUUUAUAAUUCAUAUUUUUAUUAUUGUUAGAUGAUAAAACAUGAUUAAUACUUUGUGCGUGACUUGUCUUUUAAUUUUUUUUCAAAUAAGACAGACGGCCAAACGUUGGGUACGGAAAUCAGGGUUUGUCUUUUU
rfam:Oryza barthii chromosome 10, whole genome shotgun sequence.